AGAGUUUGAUCCUGGCUCAGAUUGAACGCUAGCGGCAUGCCUAACACAUGCAAGUCGAACGGAAGUAAGGGGCAACUCUUACUUUAGUGGCGGACGGGUGCGGAAUACGUAGGAAUCUGCCUUAUAGUGGGGGAUAACUCGGGGAAACUCGAGCUAAUACCGCAUAAUCUCUACGGAGUAAAGGGGGCGCAAGCUCUCGC
rnacentral:rRNA from 1 species